rnacentral:misc_RNA from 1 species
GUUUUAUUUGUACAUUAUGCACAAUAGACAUUCCAUUACAUUCAGAGUGUGUAAAGUUACUCGGGCACCAGGCCGGUAAGGGCCAUGCAAAGCGGCACUCAGAGUCAUAGAUGCACAGGUGUGUGGAUUUUGCGACUCUGUCAAACGUGCACAUAUGGAUCUCUCCAUCAGCAACAGAACAAACAGAGCCGACUUUGAAGUUUCAUUAAUGAUCCUUCCGCAGGUUCACCUACGGAAA